CCAAGUGAGGAUUAUCUAUGGUUUGGGCAAAUUAAGAAACACUCAAUCAGGAUAGAUUACGUAAUUCUCUAGAUGGAAGCUAUUUAAUUUUGUAUUUAGAAAAGAUAUUUAAGAGGAAGUAAUACUGAGCAGGUCCAUGGUGUAACUUAAGACCUACGCAAAACAUUCUUUAACAAAUGGAAGAGAUUAGUGCCGAGGGCGUGGCAUAUUUAUGUUUUUAUGAGAACAGUUCCAGGUUUUACGGAACUAUGAUAACAUUGACAAGAGAACAGUACGGACUAAUCGGCCAGUGUGUCGAUAGAGCUACGGGAGUCACCGAUGUCCAUGAAUGUUGUUUAGAUGAAUCAGCAGAAGUUAUGAACAUUACUGUAAUAGACUACAGCAAUUUCAAUAAUGAGUUUUUAAUACCAGAUGUUAUGAAGUGUGGCGGCGAUAACUGUUCUCUCGUUUCUCCAAAAAUAAACUUUGUAACAGACGAACUUCUAGUGGGUAACAAAGCCGAAGACUGUAUAAAGAAGUAUUUCCCGCCAAAAUUCCAAGGACGUGAUUGUUUAGUUUGUAUUGGUGAUAUGAAGAUUGACACAAAGUCAGACGAAACUGUAAAUUGCGCUGGGAGUGUUCCUUGUUGUCAUUAAAUAAAAUAUUUAUAACAG